rnacentral:rRNA from 1 species
GACGAACGCUGGCGGCGUGCUUAACACAUGCAAGUCGAGCGGAGCGGCGAACGGGUGAGUAACGCGUGAGUAACUGCCCCCCUCUCUGGGAUAACAGUUGGAAACGGCUGCUAAUACCUGAUAGUGGGGGAUGGCUCGCGUCCAAUCAGCUUGUUGGUGGGGUAGUGGCCUACCAAGGCGACGACGGGUAGCCGGCCUGAGAGGGCGACCGGCCACAAUGGGCUGCGAGACGGCGCAGACUCCUACGGGAGGCAGCGGUGGGGAAUAUGGCGCAAUGGGGGCAACUCUGUUGCGGAGACGCCGCGUGCGGGAUGACGGCCUGCGGGUUGUAAACCGCUUUCAGCCAUGACGCGGUAGUGGCAGAAGAAGCACCGGCUAACUACGUGCCAGCAGCCGCGGUAAUAC